GUUUCUGAUUGGUCGAACUCCGAUUCGGCUUCCAUUGGUUAAAGGUGGCAUAAAUGAGACGCGAUGUGGAUGUCUUCUGGAACGCGUAAUCGCGGAACGACUGCGUAAAACAAAGCAAUAACCGGAAAUUGGAUUUUUUAUAAGUUUAAAUAGAAAUUCACGAAGGUCUCUGGCGGGAACGACGAGAAGAAUAAAGAAGAUAGAGUAUUCUGUGAUAUUAUAAUAACAAGUAAAAGUAACGGAAGAGGAUGAUGACUGGUAGGUGUGGCGAUUAUUGGUUGCCCCUAUACCCAAGACUCCACCUACCUGUACGCCUAUUUCGGUUCUAAACUGGGAUAGUAUUUCCUCUAAACGAAUAGGUAUUUCAUUAUGGUAACGUAUACAAAUCAAACAAAUAUGUCAUUCGAUUCGAAGAAUGGAGUAUAUUUUAUGAUAAAUAUUCAUUGAACAUUCUAUAUUUUUUAAAGGAGAAUUGCAAAAUAUUUAAAGGUAGCAAUAUUAUUGAUUUAACUAUUUUCUUUCUAUAUAACUAUAUUAAUAUAAUUUUUACGAUAGAACAUACUUGGAUAUCUACACAAAUUAAUCACGAAUUGUUUUUUUAAAUACCAAAUGCUUAAGAUAUCAACGAUAAAUAAUUAAUAAAACUAUGAAGAAAUACUGCUACUAUAAAGUAAUUCGCAAACUUUUGAAAAAUGUUGCAUCGCUAUAUGAAACAAUUCUUAAGGCUACAAUAACAAAUAGUUGACAAAACUAUAGAAAUAUUGUUAUUGUGCUAAAGAAUAAUUCAUAAAUUUUAUAAAAAUUCUCUAUUACUAUACUAUACUGUGUGACAUAUGUAUUAUGGAAAAUACACAACUGUAUCAACUAAA